rnacentral:rRNA from 1 species
AAUCAACGCUGGCGGCGUGCCUCAGACAUGCAAGUCGAACGCGAAAGUUUCCUUCGGGAGAUGAGUAGAGUGGCGCACGGGUGAGUAACACGUGAGUAAUUACCUCGGUGGGAAUACUACCGGAAACGGUUGUUAAUACCGCAUAAUGCAGCGGCGAUCAAAUGAUGACAGUUGUUAAAGCGGGGGAUUGGAGCGAAUCCGACCUCGCGCCUAGAAGAGAAGCUCGCGGCAGA